GUGGGAGGAUUUUGUUCUGGGAUCUGCUGACCGUCUGUGUUGUUGGGAGAACUGCAGAUAUAAAAACAAGAAAGUUGAGAGAAAAGAGUGCUCUACUGAAGAAUACAAAGGGAAAGUUGAAUGGAAGGAAAACAUCUGAGAGAAAACGGUAAAAACCAGCAGGGAUAACUUCAGUUUUUAGAGGAUUGUGGAGAAAACCCAACUCAAGAAAUGGAGUCAGAUUUUCUAAAGCCACUCCACACAGACGGACCUGAGCUACACCACUCCAAAACCACAGAUCACUUUAGGAGCACUUUACCUCCAACAAAAUUCUUUUGAGAUAAAGACGACGGCCGCAGCAGAUCCAACAUCAACCCAACUGCAGACAGCCUGACCCAAGGCUGACCCAGUCCCGUUUCAGAUCCCAACGUUCUUCUUCUAUGUGCUGGAAAACGGUCCAAAUGUAGAAUAUAUUGAGCGUCUGAAUCCCCCUGAGGCUCAUUAUAACGUCAGCCAAUCCUCAGACUCCAUCUUCUCCUCUUACUCUCGUUGUCUUCACUUACUCUGUUGUUUGGAUUGAAACCAUAAAAUUCAGUU